GUAAACCUCUGUUGUGAGGGACGAAUAAGAUCUGGAGGAAAUGCCAGAUCGAUGACGGUACCUCACGAGAAAGCCCCGGCUAACUACGUGCCAGCAGCCGCGGUAAUACGUAGGGGGCGAGCGUUACCCGGAUUCACUGGGCGUAAAGGGGGCGCAGGCGAUCCAGUAUGUCGGGUGUGAAAUCCCACAGCUCAACUGUGGAAUUGCGCCCGAAACUACUGGGUUUGGGGCUGGUAGAGGGAGACGGAACUGCUGGUGUAGGGGUGAAAUCCGUAGAUAUCAGCAGGAACGCCGGUGGGGAAGCCGGUCUCCUGGGCCAAGCCCGACGCUGAGGCCCGAAAG
rnacentral:rRNA from 1 species